rnacentral:rRNA from 1 species
UACGGAGGAUGCGAGCGUUAUCCGGAUUUAUUGGGUUUAAAGGGUGCGUAGGCGGACUGUUAAGUCAGCGGUAAAAGCCCGGGGCUCAACCCCGGCGAGCCGUUGAAACUGGCGGGCUGGAGUCGGAGAGAAGUACGCGGAAUGCGCGGUGUAGCGGUGAAAUGCAUAGAUAUCGCGCAGAACUCCGAUUGCGAAGGCAGCGUACCGGCGCCACACUGACGCUGAGGCACGAAAGUGCGGGUAUCGAACAGG